UCUGAAGGGGACAGUGUUGGAGA
rnacentral:piRNA from 1 species